UUGGGGCUAAGUUUGGGUAUAUUUGGCCUAUUAGUUUCAGUGGAUUAUAUUUUUGUAAAAGUUAACGACUUAGGACGCCGACGGACUACGUACGCCUUGAGUGAUGAGAAAAGCUCACUUGGCCCUUUUGCCCAGAUAAGCUAAAAAUCUCUAAUUCCAUUGUGGUUUGAAUUUUAAAGUUCUACGAUAAUUAGUCAAAGCGAGUUUCAGUUACUAGUAUCGUACAAAGUGUUAUUUUUUGCUGAUAAUGUCGGUACCUUAUUCCUUGUGUGUAGCGUCCGCAUAAGUAACUAAGUAACCGGUGGCUAGAUAUUACCACGAUUUUCGAGGUAAACUUUCUGUUUAGCAUAUUAUGUUAUAGUCUGAAGACUGCUCAGACGGGUUAAGUUUAUGUGGUUUUUGGUUCAAUCUGUCAAAAGUGAUUUAGCUAUCAAUGCUUAUGUGUUCUCCGGAGUCUGUUAUCAUCCACAUAUNC
rnacentral:lncRNA from 1 species